UGGCUCAUUAACUAUGUUAUUGUCCAGCUUUAUGCAAGAAUUUGGUCCUAUCUCGUCACGUGUGUAUUGUAUUUUCGCUCAAAUAACCAAUAACAAGUUUGUGGUUGAGUUAUCCAUCCGUAACUUGAACAAAUGCUCAAUUUAAACAUUGCUAUUGGUUGUGCGGGAAAAAAUACAAUACACACGUGACGAGAUAGGCCCAAAUUCUUGCAUAAACCGAAGCCAACAUAGUUAAUGAGUUAUAUUGUACUUUCAUCGAGUCUCCAAACCAUGUAUUCUAUUAACUGUGUUUUAAUC
rnacentral:lncRNA from 1 species